AUAACUCAUUAUCGGGAUUUAACAAAUCCUCUUGCAGCUAUGUUUUGUUUCAUAUUUUCAUCCGCAAGAUUUAGCAGAUGCUGCGAUUGUAACAUGGAAACUGUAGGGCUACUCAAGGUUGAAAGAGAGACGGGCACUCGGUAGGAAGCGAGGGAGAGAAAAGGGGCUUUGGGCACAUCUUCAGAGGAAUAAAACAUUUAGGAGCCAUAAACAGACUUCAACCUGCUCUAUUUCAGCCUUUGUGUUGUUUGUGAAUAAUUAAUGUUAAUAGGGACAAGUUUGUAUACUUUGAAUGCGGGACCACAGGUGCGGAGUGACAGGAUGAAUAACCGGCCCCGAUUUUUGCCAAAGCUCGAGGGCUCUUGUCCAGGGUCUCCAAGCUGAUGGAAAAUAUUGUCAUCUCUUUGAUUCGCAGCAUUACUUUCACCAGGAACAAAGCCGGGUGAUGAAAAGCUUAUGUUGGAGUGAAACGGGCGAUGACGGUGGCCGCUUCAGACUCCUGAAAGAAAGAGAAAGGAGGCGAGUCAAUAGCAACGCGCGCUUCAGGUUUUGUGCGCAAGUGCUCCAUCUAAUUCAAAUAAAGGAGCCUUUCCAACUUUUAAAGGACCACUUUUUGCCUUUAAUAAAGGCUGGACGGCUGUAGCCAUUAAGCAUAUGGUGCUAAGGCGCUGGUCUUUUGUCCCCGUCAAGCCCUUGAGAUACUAACUUGUGUUCUUCUCUGGAUAUUUAACUUCUCAAAAGGUCCAACUUUAUGCGCCGGCAACAAGUGGCUCCGGCGCGCACAAGCAGCGAAUCAGGGAAGAUAGAAGGAAAUAAUAACAGCGGAACUGAAAAGAGAAGGCUUUCUGAAGGACAAACACUUUGUAUCAUUUAAGGGAAGUGCGAACAGUUCUUGUAAUUUCGAGCAGGGGCGACGUGGGCUGCUUUGGAUUUGUUUCAACCGAAUUUGUUUACUUUUUGGCGCAUGGGUUUUCGUGAAGACGCACGGAAAAACUGGGUCUGAAGACUGUGUACGGAAAGUUUAUUGUAAGUGCCUCAGAAUGCAUGAGUGAAAUGAAAUCAGUUACACCAAACUGUCACUCUGUAAUGUGUUAGACUUUUAUUUACGUCGGUCAAAGUAAUGCGUCCGGUGCUACUUUGGUGUUUGAGUGAGAGAGACGCUCUGUGGGAGAGGAUGUGUGAGAAUAGCCUACAUGAUACAAAAAUUCAACUUUAGAACUCUCUAAUACAAAUAAAAUCCAUCGUUAGAACUCUUAUUUCGGCUGCAGUUUAUCCGUGCGUAAAAGCCGGAUACGUCUUUCCACUUUGGUCUCGUGCGUAAUGAUGCGUCUGCUGCGCGGUGCGAUAUCGGGGCAGGACUGUGGCGUGUCUCUCCCUCCCCUAGUGACGGCAUCAAGGAGACGUGACAAGCAGCAUCACUGACCAGUACGAGUGGAUCGUAUGAACCACUUCAAGGGGAUGCCUUAAAUGACAGCCGUCAGUAUAAUGAAGAGUCCGUCUUCUGACGUUUCAGACACUCCGGCCACCUGCAGCGUUACUUUCUGCCUGUUCAUACAUAUUCAUCAGGAUAGUCUCAACAUCUUUGGUCUAAAAAGAAAUAAAGGUUCGACUAAGUGUCGAAGAGUAGGAUUUUGUCGAGACGGUGUUUGGGAAAUGGAAAAAUGUAAAGAAACAGAAAUAAUUGUACCGACGGAUUUAGUAGAAAUCAUCUUGACAUCACAUCUUCGUUUUUUGCAAACUUGCCAGUCGGAUCUGCCUGUACACUCAUUUUACAUAUUCCUUUUCAGCCUUCAAAUAUAGAAAGAUAUAAAGUUGUUAGAGGGCAUUAUACAACAAUUACACUGAACACGACUCUGAAUCUGGUGUGUUAGUUUCUAAAUAAACUACAUCUCAGUCUGUCAAAGGGAGGCAGAUUAAUGAUACUUCCAAAAUAUUUUAGUUCCCUGGAUGUCUCGAUCUUAAACGUGGAAAAUGCACUUUAUGAGUUUCGCACUCUUUUCUCCCGGUCUUCCAUUGAACGGACUCAAAGAAAAAAAACCUCCUGCCUUCUGUUCUAUUGAAAUGAAAUCACUGAAUACCGGUAUUAUAAGUGUGAGUGUGUGUUUGUGUGUGUGGAGUCGUGGAGCCAGUUGGCCCCUGAAAACCCCCCUGGUGGACGGAACACGGCGGGCUGACCUCUACGCCAGAGGACGGGAGAUGCGCCUUUGACCGAAUUAGCCAUAAAGACGUCUUGCUAUGAUCUUUGUUGCGGCUGAAAGCAGAGUGGAUAUGAGAGGCAUUGUGCACAGCUUUUGCGUGCCCCGUCAUGAAAUAUUACAAUUUAUUCAUAAGGAAGCUGGUCUGAAAGGAUAUGGUAAUGAAGUAGACUGAGAUGAUCCCAGAACGGGUCCCAGAAAAAGUCCGAGUCCUAAGACAAACCGGAUAAAUCCGUGUUCGAGUUUGGAGUGAAACAGAUCUCAGACUUGGGAUUCAUGAUUUUUUUUUUCGAUCAGAAACCUUCAACUCCGCACGUAACACGUUGACUAAUGAUUCGUUGUCUUUAAAAAAAUCCCUGAAUAACUCUAGAAAAGGUGAUAAAUUACAAAUAUGCUAAUUUUAGUCACGGCCGUUUGUACGUGUGCGUCUCCAUCCAUCUCCUGCUCUCUGCGCUGCUGAUCCCCGUCGUGCGCAAGAGGACACUCAGCCCGUUCAGACCGGGCCCUUUUGUUCGCCUCCAGCACUGACUUUAGCCUCUAGGGAAAAAGUUUUUUUUUUCUCUCUCUCUCUCUUGGUUUUGUGCCCCCCACCCUCUGCACUCCCAUCCCUUGCUCUGUCAGUUGCCAGGCUUCAGAGGUGUAAAAGCAUGCAUCAUUUUUCACCAGCUCUGCGUUUUGAUAUCGACAAAAGCGGCUGCUAUGGAACAGCCUCUCCGCUUGUUCGCUGGCUUGAACUUCACUGAUGUCCGACUGCUCUCUUUUCCUCGUCUGAACGCAGCACAGCAGGGAUGGAUUUGCAAGACAAAUGCAGCUGUGUGAGUGCGAGGGAGUCAAGUGGCACAAAAAGGCCGUUUCAGUCAGCCCAUGGCAUGGAGAAAGUCAGCAUUAUGCGGGCGUCAAAUCAAUCAAAAACAAAAGCCCCCAUACACAAACUGCCGAGUUUAUGGAGCUGAAAUGGCAGCUAUUAACUUGUGUAGAGCAAACACAUUUUCCUUAUUCAAAAAGGAGAGUUAGUUUGAAAAAAAUCAGGCAACAUACAUGAAUAAACGUUAAUAAAGCUGGAUAUUUGCUUCUGUACUCAAGUACUGAUGUCUUUAUAAUGAAAGUAAAGAAUAAAAAGUUUAUCCAAAAAUGACCUAAAGGGACAGUGAAAGAGAAGCUUUAAUUGUGAAUGUGGAGUUUUUUCUAACUCUGUAACUAAGUCAUCAAAUAGUUUUACUCAAAUGGACAAAUAUUCCGUGGAAAAGACUAAAUCAAUACCAUCGUGAUAAGUUUUGGUUUAAUGAACAGGUACUGUCCAGCUAAUGGGGCUUUUUUAAACAUGAACUGAACACACAGGUCUUUCAAGCCAGCAUACAGAUAUAGUUCACUUACAUCACUUGCGUUUAAAGGUCCUUACACACCGGGCCGACGCGAACAUACGAUGCGAAAUUACAAAAUAUGGAUGGAAGCGAGAAGACUGACGCAAUAGCAGACUGACUGUUUUUCAGUUCUGAUUAGACACUAGUGUUGAGAUAGUUGUCUGUUAUGAUAGCAUGAACUGAGUCAGGGCCAGUACCAGAUAAGCACAUUAAACUAUAAUCUAUAAAUGUAAGGUAACAACCGAGACCAAAUGGUGCUGUGACAGCAAUGUGAUUGAGUUUGAGACAGUGAAAAUACAUAUGGUAUGUUGUAUCUGAACAGGUUAGCUUACGAGUUAAAAAGUUACUUAGCACAGUUAAAACAGAGACGUUUAGCAAACUGUUAAAGCACACAAACUAUCGUCAUUUGAGAAAUCUGACACUAUGACUCUCCCCAAGUUGUCCUUCAGGUUGUUAUCUUUGUAAUGUUUGUUUUAUCAAAAAGCACUCUGUUCUCUGACACGUAAAAAAUUAGCCAGUCGGCCAUGUUGGAUAUACCGGUGAGUCACAACAACACGCUAUCUGAUUGGUCAGAAGUGGACACACAGUGUGCGAAGCUUGCAUUGACAGGAUAUGGGUUCGAGAAAAAAAAACGUCAAAAACGGUCCCAGUGUAAAACCUUAACAGUUAAACCAUGUUCCUUCAUUCCUUCAUCCUUCAAUUAGAAAUAGACUUAACUUCAUCAUUUCAACCAUUUCCAUACAAAAGCGGUUAAGUAAGUUCAAGUGUCAGGGAUGAAUUUUGGUGAACAGGUUCUCUUAUUGAGUGGAAACAGACUGCAUCAUGAUAAAGAAACCAUCAACUCCCAUUUUCUAAAUGUCAAUCAUGUUUGUUUAAGAUCUCACUUUAUGUUCUGAGUUUUGGACAACGUACACAUCAGUGCAGAUAAUUCAGGCAUCACUCUUCCCCCCUGGAUCAUUGUCCAGCAGUUUGGUCAAGCGCUACAGUGGAUCAAAUAAAGAAACAGUAGAAAACAGAGAGAGCAGCACAUUCAGCUGUCCAGAUGUUUGCAAAGUACAUGUUUGUUUGGUUCAAUCAGGUUCAAUCAGGUUCUUCUACUCACUUGGUGUCUCUAGAGCAGUGGUUCUCAAGUCCAGUCCUGAGGCCCACUGUCCUGCACAUUUUGGAUGUUUCCCUGCUCCAACACACCUGAUUCCAAUGAUCAGCUCGUUAUUAAGCCAUUACAGAGCUUGAUAACGAGCUGAUCAUUUGAAUCAGGUGUGUUGGAGCAGGGAAACAUCCAAAACAUGCAGGACAAUGGGCCUCGAGGACUGGACUUGAGAACCAUUGAUCUAGAGCUUCACCGUUCAUUUUAUUUUGAGCUGAUCUUUCAGCUUAGACACCCUAAGAAAAAGGCUGUAGCUGCGUUUUCUCACAUUUAGGGCUACACAAUCUGCUUUGUCAUGCUCAUUAUUACGACAACCAAAUGUCAGGAUAUACUGACUGAUAAUAUUAGAUUAUUACUUCAUGCAUAAAUGAAAGACAAAUUUCAGAACAGGCUUUCUCCACAGUAAUAUUCAUGACAUACUUUGACACACAAGUAUCUAGGCUGAAGUGUCAGUCUUUCCUAUCAUUGUGAGGGGCAUGUUUCAACCAUUUUACUCAAAUCCAGACAUCAUCUUUCUCCUGAAGCAGCUUCUGCAAACAGAAAGCUUGGUAAACACCUUAUCUCACUCAUUGGCUAUGUUCACACUGCAGGUCAAUUCUGAUUUUUAACCAUAUGUGACACAUAUCGGAUUUUUUCAUGUAAGUGUGAACAGUGCAAUUCAGAUUUUUUCAACUCCGACCCAGGCCUCUUUUGUAUGUGGAUAUAAAUCUGAUAUGUAUCCGAUGUGACUGCAGUGUGGACGCUCAGGUUGCGUUCAUCCGACCUAUACGUCAUCAAUAUGCGACAAAUGUCACCAUUGUUCGGAAAGCAAUUUGUGCUUUGUGCGCAUGCGGGUCACUUCACGGACACAUUCCAUUUACAUUAGAUGCCGCAUUCGUUGUUGUAAUGUGAACGGCCACACAAAAAGAUUGGAUUUAACAAAAAAACUGAAUUGUGCAUCAUAACCUGCAGUGUGAACGUAGCCUCAGUCUUUCCUUACCUGCUGUGAUUAAACGGUCCAUACAUUAUCAAUAGAACAGUAAGCAUUAAGAAAUGCUACGCGUCCUCUGCUGGUUUGUGCAGGAAGAAUCGAACUCAGCUAACACACUCACAAGUACAUUCAACAAAAGUGGACAUGAUGAAUUGAUCCUGAUCUUGAAAAUCUGGCUGAGAUAACACAGCCCCUCCUUGGUUUGAUAACACACUUAAAGGCUGUGAUCUAAGUCGAUGAUUAUUGAUGUUGAGGACUUCAAAUGCUAUUUACAUCAGAAUAUAAUACAUCUGUUUGUCUUGUUUGAGAGAAAUACUCAUGGUCUUUUUACACCCUAAUCCGCGCAAACUGGGAUACAAUGCAAGACCAGAUUAAUCUUUAAGUGUAAAGACAACUUCAACAUGUUUUACCUUUUUCAGAGGAGAUGGAGGCAUGCAAAACUCCACUCUGAAAUGUAAUCAUACAUCGGAUAGAGUGCACAAAACAGAAAGAGGAAAACAUAUGUGAGACCUUCUUCUCGUUGUCUGUUUCAAAGUGAUAAUGCAAGUGAAAUAGAGAAAACAGCAUGGUGUUCAUUUCCUGAUGUUAUAAAGGACUCUCACAGCUCCUCUUGUCUCUCUGCAGCUGGAGCCGACCGUGCUGUGAGGCAGAGCCAGUGGCUGGUGGCCAGUGCUGACUGGGACAGCUUCCAGCCUCAGAGGGUCUGUGAUUAACCCAGGAGCGGUCAAACUCGGCAGGAAGCCCUCCACAACCAGCCGCUGCUAUUUAUCCACUCGCCAAUGAAACCAAUUACUUUUAGAGCCAGCCUUGCUGCCACACUAUGUGUGUUGUUCCUGCAGACCAAUAGAGUAUUUCUGUGAAAGGAAAGGCAGACGUGAAGUAGGAAACCCUCCGGAGCUGCUUCAACAGGCUGUAAAAUAUACCUAAAGUCAGUUGCCAUGGAGACGACAUGAUGUGCAAGAGAAGCUUGAAUGAUAAACAAAGCUUUUCCAUUCAACCAAGAAUUCCACGAUAAAUAUUUUUUUACUUAUCUCCCAACAAGAAACAGUUUUGUGGUUGUUUCCAAGGUGACAAGUCAGCCACAUCACAAACGUUCAAUGAUUUCACACUGUGAAGUGAGUUUUGUGACUACAGGACAUUCAAACUGUCUCAUCAAACCACCCACCGAACCAGAGUAUGGGUGUUUUUAUUCUGAUGGAGUUUAAAGGUCCUUUCACACUGGGAUCGUUUUUUUCAUGCAAUUAUUUUGGACGUCAAUCUUUUUUUUCAAAUCUGUAUCCUGUCAAUACAAGCGUUCACAUCAGUGAUGUUUUCCCAUCCUGCGACAUUGCGGCAUUUAGUUUUUCAAAUCACAGACGAAUUUUUUAAGUUUCGCAUACUGUGUGUCCACUUCUGACCAAUCAGAUUUCGUGUUGUUACAACGUCAGAUUCACCAGUAUAUCCAACAUUGCUGACUGCCUGAUUGUUUAUGUGUCAGAGAGCAGAGUGCUUUUUGAUAAAAGACACAAAUAUUACAAAGAUAAUGACCUGAAAGACAACUUGUGGAGAGUCAUAGCGUCGGAUUUCUCAUAUGACGAUAGUUUGUGUGCUUUAACAGUUUGCUAAACGUCUUUGUUUUAACUUUCAUCUGUGCUAAGUAACUUUAGCUUGUAAGCUAACCUGUUUAGAUACAACACACCAUAUGUAUUUUCACUGUCUCAAACUGAAUCAUGUUGCUGUAACAGCACCAUUUGGUCUCGGUUGUUGCCUUACGUUUAUGGAUUAUAGUUUAAUGUGCUUAUCUGGUACUGGCCCCGACUCAGUACAUGCUAUCAUGACAGACAGCCAUCUCAACGCUAGUGUCUAAUCAGAACUGAAAAACAAUCAGUCUGCUGUUGUGUCAGUCUUCUCGCUUCCACCCAGGACGUGUCUUUUCCCCCCCCGUAAAGUUGCAAAAUCGCAUCGUGCUCAAUGCGUAUAGUCGGGCGCGUCAAAAUUCGCCCCAAAAUAUUUCAUAAUUUUGCGUUGUAUAUUUGUGUUGUUCCCAGUGUGUAAGGACCUUAACUCUCACUGACUAAUUCAUCGGUCCAAGUAGUUCUGCUGCUGCUGCUGCUAAUGGAGUAUGGUAUCAAGAGAAGACUCAAGGAGAGAUCUGCUCUAUGAUACAGAAUAUUUCUAUACAACCUUCAUUCCAGGAAAGUGGUUGUUGCUCCUCUGAAGUUGUCCAGGCCCAAAGUUACCCCGAAGUCUGACUCUUUUCCACAUUCCCAUGGUUUAUGGAGUUGUCUGCAUUUUUGGGUCAUAAAUACAGUUUCCUUCUUGCACAGUUCAUUUUUAACUCAUUUGGUGGAGAACUGUGGUCACUGACAAAGGUUUUUAAGAGAUGAUUUAGAGCCCAUGCAGGAAUUUCCAGUACAGAGGAUCUGAAAAAUCAAGGCCAUAGUUUUUGAUCUUGUGCUUUUCCUGCAGAGAUUUCUCCUGGAGGUGAUGAAAUCCUCAAGCUCUCCGCAAUUUGAGGAACAUUUUUCCAGAUUUGUUUAAUAUUUUAGUCUCUCACAGAGUGGUGAACCUCUUCCAAUCUUUCCCUCUGAGAGACUCAGCCUCUCUGAAUGCCCUUUUUAUACCCACUCAUGUUACUAACCUGUUGGAAAUGAACCUCUUAAGUUGGAGAUGUUCCCCCCAGCUGUUUUUCUAAAGUGUCAUUUUUUGUGAAGUUUUGCUGGCAUCAAAUGAACAUUUAUUUAAAUGAAUAUUUAUUGUUCAUGUUCAAUGUUUAUGUUGUCUUUGCACUGUUUUUAGGUUUUGAAUGGUUUGCAAAUGACCAGAGCCUGUUUUUAUUUAUUUUUGUAUCAAGUGUCUGUGAAACUUAUCCGUCAUGUUUGAAGGGUGAUAAACUAGCUACAAAUGUUUGCAUUUGGACUGUCUCACAGAUGUAUUCAUUAAAGUGAUGUUCAUUAUUUUUCACUUCAUUGUUCCCUAAUUCAUUUGAUUUGAUAUUCUUUGGGCUGUUAAGAAUAAGUGGGAUGAUUCCGAUUUUAUUCUGAUCUCUGUGAGUCCAUUUCAGUGCUUGAACUUUGAAGGUCCUUACACACAGGGGCUGACACCAAUAUCGAACGCGAAAUCAUGAAAUAUUCAGAGGUGAAUUUUGACACGCCUGACAAUACACAUCAAGCCCGAUGCAAUUUUGCGACUUUCUGUGAAAGACACAUCCCAGGGAAGACUUUUCUGGGGAAAAGUCCUGCCUCCUUCGCCUGAAAAUGCUGGAAACGUCAUCACAUGCUUAAGCCAAACGGUCAGCACUUAUAGCCAAUCAGAGGCGAAGGAGGGUAGGACCUUCCCUUACCAUCCUACAGCGUCCUGGGUGGAAGCAAGAAGACAAAAAUGGAGUCUACUUCAACUUCAAGUGAUGGAGAAUUGGUACUCCUUUUGCUUUCUCAAAAGAAAAAGAAACGUAGCACAUGGGUGCAUCAAAUAUUACAAAAAAGAAGAGAACUUGCUGAGUUUCACUGCUUGGUUCAGGAGCUGAAACUGUACCACGGUUGCUUCAGAACCUGUUUUCAGAUGUCCGUUGGUUCUGCUGAAACAAUUAGCUCCAAGUUUGAAGACGCAGAGGACUAGACACUGGUGUUGAGAUGGCUGUCUGUCAUGAA
rnacentral:lncRNA from 1 species